CCUACGGGUGGCAGCAGUGGGGAAUAUUGGGCAAUGGGCGCAAGCCUGACCCAGCAACGCCGCGUGAAGGAAGAAGGCUUUCGGGUCGUAAACUUCUUUUCUGAGGGACGAAGAAAGUGACGGUAGCUCAGGAAUAAGCCACGGCUAACUACGUGCCAGCAGCCGUGGUACUACGUAGGUGGCAAGCGUUAUCCGGAUUUAUUGGGUGUAAAGGGGGUGUAGGCGGCAAAGCAAGUCAGAUGUGAAAACUCAGGGCUCAACCCUGAGCCUGCAUUUGAAACUGUUUUGCUGGAGUGCUGGAGAGGCAAUCGGAAUUCCGAGUGUAGCGGUGAAAUGCGUAGAUAUACGGAGGAACACCAGUGGCGAAGGCGGAUUGCUGGACAGUAACUGACGCUGAGGCGCGAAAGCGUGGGGAGCAAACAGGAUUAGAUACCCCUGUAGUC
rnacentral:rRNA from 1 species